GCGGAUUGAUGUAACGGUAAACAUAUUUGACUCAUGAUCAGGAGAUAAAGGUUCAAAUCCUUUGUCCGCA
rnacentral:tRNA from 1 species